GAAUGUAUACAUAUAUAUGAUCAACUCUUUAAAUCCGCAUCUGGUUUUCCACAGCAGCUUCUAAAAAGGUGUAAAUAUGAAUGUAUGCCAGAACUCAGAAGCGAAAUAUUAGGUAAUGAAGUUGAUGUUCAAUGCAUGUUGUACUGUUGGAGGAGUUAAUUUGAACUUCGAAAUUCAGAGUAGGUUUGAAGAGUUGAUCAUAUAUAUGUAUACAUUC
rnacentral:misc_RNA from 1 species